rnacentral:rRNA from 1 species
GAUGUAUAGCGAAAGCUAGUUGUAUCUGACUUAAUUAAACCUAAGUUGGUGCAAAAUUGACUAUGUCGAAUAAAGUUCUGGGUAGGUUAUGACGAUGACAUUUUCUAUCCAUGUGUCUUGACCAAAUUACGUGCCAGCAGUCGCGGUAAUACGUAGAAGACUAGUGUUAUUCAUCUUUAAUAGGUUUAAAGGGUACCUAGACGGUAAAUCAAGUCCAAGAUGGGUACUAAUUUGCUAGAGUUAAAUGUGAGGGACCAUAAAAGUACUGAUAAGUGUAGAGAUGAAAUUCUGUGAUACAAUAUAUGGCACUGGUUAAGGCGAAAGCAUCUUCUUAUGUGAUAACUGACGUUGAGGGACGAAGGCUAGGUGUAGCAAAAAGGAUUAGAUACCCAAGUAGUCUUAGCAGAAAAUUAUGAAUGCCAUAGGAUCGUGUGUUUAGCCUAAGGAGAAUAAAAUAAGACUAUUCCAAGUCUAAACUGGAAUAACCUCUUAUAUAAAGUACUUAUCAGCUAAAUAAAAAAAAACGGUUAUAUAAAUGAAAGUGUAAGCAUUUCACCUCAAGAGUAAUUUGGCAACAUUGGAACUGAAAUCAUUAGACCGUUUCUGAAACAAGUAGUGAAGUAUGUUGUUUAAUUUGAUGGUCCGCAAAAAACCUUACCACAAUUUGAAUAGAAAAAUCUUUUAUACAAGCGCUGCACGGUUGUCUUCAGUUAAUGUCGUGAAAAUUUGGUUAGUUCCAUUAAAUUAACGUAAACCCUUACUUUAUUUACACAUAGAGUUGUUCGCCGCUAGAUUGGUUGUGAUAACAGGGACGAAGACGAGUCAUCAUGGCCUUAAUAUUGUGGG